UGCCCCCCUGGAAUUAGAAAAGUCAAGAGUUCAAAACCAAUUUUUCCUAUUUCAGAGCAGGAGUUGAAUCACUGCUUGGGAGCGUGUCUUAAUGUUGCCAGGUAUUUUUUAAGUGCAUUCUCCUCGAUAUCUUCUGACACAAUUCUGCUUUUACACAGAACGUCUGGAUAUUUUUUUGGAACAUUUAGUGCAAAGUCCUACAUUGUUAAUAACAGAAGUGGAGUAACUCUUAGCAGAAUACCCUGUAGCAUGUGAUGUGGGCAUUGACAUGAGAGCAUUGACAAGUGUCUUCAUCACUCUCUUGAAAAGAGGAAGACCCACAAGAUAAUGGAAUCAUCUUACUAGCUGAGAAGACAGCCAGAAUUUUUUGUCAAAACUUCAUCUUUCUCCCACUCCUUUUCCCUGGCCAUCUGGGCUUUUCAGAGAACAAGAAAUGACAAGUGCCUUCUGUAUCUGCAAGUUUAAACACUCUCUGCUGAAGGAAACAAGUGCUUUCCACGUAUUCAUAAAAACGCAAAUAAGCAAGAGUCCUGCAGUAACUGAAGUCUGCUAGCACUUUAGGGAAAAUCCAAUAUGCUAAAAAUCACAGGUAGUUUUGGCCAGAAUAUGAUGGUAUGAACAGAAUCAGUGCUAUGGCCAUCUUUAAAAGGAAACUGAAAUGGAGUAUAUCUUGCAGCUGAACUCAAGACCUAAUUCUGCCAGUUCCACUGAGCACUAUGGAGCUGAAAAGCUUAGAAUUGCUACACCUGUGCCUGGCUCUAUAUUUACAUCGGCAUUUAAUCUCACUUUCACUGAAAUCAGCGACUUUCUGCUCUGUUUUAGGCAUUCACUGGGUGUCAAGAUGCAUACAACUGGAAGAGAGAGAAAAGUACUGAUUUAAAAUUGAAGCAUAAAAUGUUUGGUUGAUGCAUUUUUUAAAAAGUUACUUAAGAACAUAAGGUAUUGUAAAGUAUUGCUAAAAGGGCAUAUGUAUUAGCUCAACCACUGUGAAAUGCCAAAAGCCUGGGUUUGUGACUCUAAGAUGCUGUAAACAAACAUGGUGGUAGAUGACACUUUCAAAGCCUCUAAGCAAAAUUCAGUGAAACUAAAACUCAGGCACUUCUGUAUUUAUUACUUACUUUCAACGUAUUUAAAA
rnacentral:lncRNA from 1 species